GGGGAUUAUCAGGAGAACAUGUCAACAAUGGUACUGAGUGCUUUGAGGUACUCGACUUGCUUUGCACUCAAGACAUGUACGAUAUGACGGAAACUGACGGUCCGUGCCAGCAAUACGAUCUUAAAGAAGACAGGUGAAAGGAAAACA
rnacentral:lncRNA from 1 species